rnacentral:rRNA from 1 species
CUACGGGAGGCUGCAGUGGGGAAUAUUGCACAAUGGGCGCAAGCCUGAUGCAGCCAUGCCGCGUGUAUGAAGAAGGCCUUCGGGUUGUAAAGUACUUUCAGCGGGGAGGAAGGGAGUAAAGUUAAUACCUUUGCUCAUUGACGUUACCCGCAGAAGAAGCACCGGCUAACUCCGUGCCAGCAGCCGCGGUAAUACGGAGGGUGCAAGCGUUAAUCGGAAUUACUGGGCGUAAAGCGCACGCAGGCGGUUUGUUAAGUCAGAUGUGAAAUCCCCGGGCUCAACCUGGGAACUGCAUCUGAUACUGGCAAGCUUGAGUCUCGUAGAGGGGGGUAGAAUUCCAGGUGUAGCGGUGAAAUGCGUAGAGAUCUGGAGGAAUACCGGUGGCGAAGGCGGCCCCCUGGACGAAGACUGACGCUCAGGUGCGAAAGCGUGGGGAGCAAACAGGAUUAGAUACCCCUGUAGUC